AUGGGAGCAGCGAGCUGCACGGCCUCCAGCCCCAACCCCGGGCCCAGCUGGACCCCAGCAGGCUGGGCUCCCUCCUCUGAACUUUGCUUCUCAGGCACCAAGUACGCCACCCAGUUCCCCUGCCCUCGGGGCUACUACAAUCCAGACCCACUGACACAGAGCCUGGACAGCUGUCUGCCCUGCCCGCCAGGCCACUACUGCGGCCAGGAGAACCUGACCCAGGCCUCCGGGCCCUGUGAUGCAGGCUGGUUCUGCGUGUCAGCAGCAUGGACCGCUCGUCCCUUCGACCUGGACAACUACACCAGCACCAAUUGCCUGUGCCCGGCCACGGCCACAGGGGGGAAGUGCCCGGCAGGCUCCUUCUGCCCUGAGGGCAGCCCGGAGCCCAGACCCUGCCUGCCGGGCUCUUUCUGCGCCACCUCCGGCCUCUCCACACCCAGUGGGCCCUGCCAGGCUGGCUACUUCUGUGCAGAAGGAGCAGUGUCCCCAGCUCCACGGGACGGGCUGACAGGGGCCCCCUGCCCCCCAGGAACCUUCUGCCGUGAGUGUCUCCUUGGGCCCCACUCUCAGCCCCACUCACUGUCCCGUCCUGGGGCUGCUGACACCCUUUUCCUCAGUGUGUGUCUGGACCCUGGGGCUGUUGGAAGGAAGCCAGAGGGAAAAGAGUUGCCCGAGGUGGUCCAGCCAGAGGCUGAGAAGGGUGGCAGAGGCGCGGUUAAAACACACUCAGGAUGCUUCCUGUGGUUUGGGUUGUAUGGUGUGGACAGCUGA
rnacentral:lncRNA from 1 species